AUGCAAAAACAUCGAUGUCACUAUCGAUACUAUCGAUGUUUUUUAAAACAGCGAUGUAUCGAUGCUUUUUUUCGAACAUCGAUGUUAUCACUAAGAGAUACACACGCAAAGCAAGUGUUUGAUACAGGUAAAACAUAUUAGGGCGGUUCCUCUCGGCACAAUGGACAGGUUUCUGCACAUAACAAGACUUUCAGCAAGGCAGGACAAAUCGCGGACGAAAAGAGAUCUCGACUUAAACCUAAAACUUUGAACAUGCUGUUGUUUUUACAGAAAAACCAGUGGAUUAUUAGUUAAGAUAUAGAUAUCGAUUAGAUAAGUAAGAUAAGUAAGAACUGAACUGAACUGAACUGAACUGAACUGAAGUGAACUGAACUGAAAUAAUGUGAUUCCAUUUUUCUUUAUGAUUUCGUUAAAAUAUGUAUUAAGAUUAUGCUUUUUUAUUUGUUUCUGAAAAUAUUGUUGUUGUUUUGUUUGAAUAAAUAUAAGUUUAUAAUAA